rnacentral:rRNA from 1 species
GACAGAGGGGGCUAGCGUUGCUCGGAAUCACUGGGCGGAAAGGGUGCGUAGGCGGGUUUUUAAGUCAGGGGUGAAAUCCUGGAGCUCAACUCCAGAACUGCCUUUGAUACUGAAGAUCUUGAGUCCGGGAGAGGUGAGUGGAACUGCGAGUGUAGAGGUGAAAUUGGUAGAUAUUCGCAAGAACACCAGUGGCGAAGGCGGCUCACUGGCCCGGUACUGACGCUGAGGCACGAAAGCGUGGGGAGCAAACAGG